GUGAACGCUGGCGGCGUGCCUAAUACAUGCCAGUCGAGCGAACAGACGAGGAGCUUGCUCCUCUGACGUUAGCGGCGGACGGGUGAGUAACACGUGGAUAACCUACCUAUAAGACUGGGAUAACUUCGGGAAACCGGAGCUAAUACCGGAUAAUAUAUUGAACCGCAUGGUUCAAUAGUGAAAGACGGUUUUGCUGUCACUUAUAGAUGGAUCCGCGCCGCAUUAGCUAGUUGGUAAGGUAACGGCUUACCAAGGCAACGAUGCGUAGCCGACCUGAGAGGGUGAUCGGCCACACUGGAACUGAGACACGGUCCAGACUCCUACGGGAGGCAGCAGUAGGGAAUCUUCCGCAAUGGGCGAAAGCUUGACGGAGCAACGCCGCGUGAGUGAUGAAGGUCUUCGGAUCGUAAAACUCUGUUAUUAGGGAAGAACAAAUGUGUAAGUAACUAUGCACGUCUUGACGGUACCUAAUCAGAAAGCCACGGCUAACUACGUG
rnacentral:rRNA from 1 species